UAAUUUGUAACCGCCAAGUUCUAAUAUGGUUCCCCCCAAGAUUUUAAAACUAUUUAAAAACGCCCACCAAACUUUUAGUUUUAAAACGCACAUUCAAUUCAACUCAUCUAGAUUUCAUUUCAUCGCCUUUCUCGUCGUCUGUCUUCUCAGUGAGCGAACAUGGCAGGCAAGGGAGGUAAAGGACUCGUAGCUGCAAAGACGAUGGCUGCUAACAAAGACAAAGACAAAGACAAGGACAAGAAGAAACCCAUGUCUCGCUCUGCUCGUGCCGGCAUUCAGUUUCCAGUGGGUCGUAUUCAUAGGCAACUCAAGACCAGGGUUUCAGCACAUGGAAGAGUUGGUGCCACUGCUGCUGUUUACACGGCUUCAAUUCUAGAGUACCUUACUGCAGAAGUUCUUGAGUUAGCUGGGAACGCAAGCAAAGAUCUGAAAGUGAAGAGGAUAACUCCAAGGCAUCUGCAGUUGGCAAUCAGAGGAGAUGAGGAGCUUGACACGCUCAUCAAAGGAACCAUUGCUGGAGGAGGUGUGAUCCCUCACAUCCACAAGUCUCUUAUCAACAAAACCACUAACGAGUGAUUUUGUUUCUUAAGCACUGAGGUUAUGUGAUCUGCUAAUUAGUAGCUUAUUGUUUGUGUUGGACUGCUUUUUUUUUCCUUAGUUCUCUGACUAGUGUGUUGCUCUUUUCUGGACAUCAUCAUGUGUACGUUUAAUUUGAACUCUUAGGCUUAUUGUUUAUUGUACGCGAUCCAUAUACAAAAAACUCAAGUUAAAAGGAUUAGGUGGUUCUCCAAAGCUCCUUGUCAAGAAUACGCAAUACAUAAUCAUUGUCUCA